rnacentral:snoRNA from 1 species
GUUGGUUGAAAAUCACCCCCGGGCUUUGGCCGUGGCCGCGGGUGAGAUUCGGCGCCUAGAUCCUCCGGGGGCCUCAGCUCACCACGCGCUGCCCUGUGUGCGGCGGUGAAACCCAGGCCCCGACAGGC